rnacentral:rRNA from 1 species
AUUGAACGCUGGCGGCAGGCCUAACACAUGCAAGUCGACCGAGUGGCGGACGGGUGAGUAAUGUAUGGGGAACUGCCCGAUAGAGGGGGAUAACUACUGGAAACGGUGGCUAAUCCCGCAUACUAUCGGAUGCUCCCAAAUGGGAUUAGCUAGUAGGUGGGGUAAAGGCUCACCUAGGUGACGAUCACUAGCUGGUCUGAGAGGAUGAUCAGCCACGCUGGUACUGAGACACGGCCCAGACUCCUACGGGAGGCAGCAGUGGGGAAUCUUGCACAAUGGGCGCAAGCCUGAUGCAGCCAUGCCGCUUGUAGGAAGAAGGCCUUAGGGUUGUAAAGUACUUUCAGCAGGGAGGCUUUACCCGCAGAAGAAGCACCGGAUAACUCCGGGCCAGCAGCCGCGGUAAUUC